GAUGAACGCUGGCGGCGCGCCUAACACAUGCAAGUCGAACGGACCUGCGAGAAGCUUGCUUUUCUUAGCUUAGUGGCGAACGGGUGAGUAACGCGUGAGUAACCUGCCUUGGAGUGGGGGACAACAGUUGGAAACGACUGCUAAUACCGCAUAAGCUCACGAUCCGGCAUCGUCUUUAGUGAAAAGGACUUUUUCGCUUCCGGAUGGACUCGUGUCCAAUUAGCUAGUUAGUGAGGUAACGGACCACCAAGGCGACGAAUGGUAGCCGGACUGCGAGGUUGAUCGGGCACAGUGGGAGUGAGACACGGCCCAGACUUCUACGGAAGGGAGCAGUGGGGAAGAUUGAACAAUGGGGGAAACACUAAGGCAGCGGGGUCGUGAGGAGGUAGAAGGUGUUCAGAUUGAAAACUUCUGUCGCUAGGGACGUUAAUAACGUUACCUAACAAGAAAGCACCGGCAAACUACGU
rnacentral:rRNA from 1 species